GCCUUUAUGGUGAAAUUGGAAGCAUACUCGGCUCGUAUUCGAGAGUUCCAGGGCUUGAGUCCCGGUGACGGCA
rnacentral:tRNA from 1 species